AUUGAACUCUGGGGGCAGGCCUAACACAUGCAAGUCGAGCGAGUGGCGGACGGGUGAGUAAUGUCUGGGAAACUGCCUGAUGGAGGGGGAUAACUACUGGAAACGGUUGCUAAUACCGCAUACCAUCAGAUGUGCCCAGAUGUGAUUUGCUUGUUGGUUGGGUAACGGCUCACCAAGGCGCCGAUCCCUAGCUGGUCUGAGAGGAGGACCAGCCACCUGUGAACUGAGACACGGUCCAGACUCCUACGGGAGGCAGCAGUGGGGAAUAUUGCACAAUGGGCGCAAGCCUGAUGCAGCCAUGACGCGUGUAUGAAGAAGGCCUUAGGGUUGUAAAGUACUUUCAGCGGGGAGGCGUUAACCGAAGAAGAAGCACCGGCGAACUCCGUGCCAGCAGCCGCGGUAAUUC
rnacentral:rRNA from 1 species